ACUGGGAGCUGCACCCAGGUUCUGGGGCUUUGCUGACCCUGGCUGAUGCUGCAACUUACGAUAUUCUCACAUCUCAUGGAUUUCCAGCCUUUUUAUUGCCCCUCAGGCAUUUUAUCUUGCAUCCCAGAAAUAUCAGUGGGUUGCUAUCUCUGCAGAGGAAGGGACUGAAAGAGAAGUGCUGCAGCUGCUGCAGUCCAUAGCAUCUGCCUGAUGUUACCAUUAGAGCUAAGACAUCAGAUAAGGCACCAAAGGUGGUGGGAUGCAGAUGAGAUCUUCAUGCUCAGGAGUGAUGAGACACUUCAGGAGGAAGGAUCUGAAGAACAGGAUUUCACAGAUGGUGGUGGUGGUUGUUGCUUUUAGUCUCCAGGACUAGCCUAACGGCUUUCCUAGGGGAUCUGCAUUAUCUUCUACCUUCUCCUGGAAACAGUUACAUUGUUUGGAGCCUCUACAGGACUGAAAGCAAGAGUCAUGAGGUACUACAACAUUAGAUGAAUCUGCCCCAUGCGUCAUUAACUCUUUGGAAUCCAAGCUCAUGUAUGUGAUCAACUACUGUUUAAGGGAAUAAUUACUUUGUUUUUGAAACU